GGCUCCUUGGCGCAGUCGGCAGAGCGUCAGUCUCAUAAUCUGAAAGUCGUGAGUUCGAGCCUCACAGGGGCAA
rnacentral:tRNA from 1 species